rnacentral:rRNA from 1 species
UACGAACUGUGCGAACGUUAUUCGGAAUCACUGGGCUUACAGGGUGCGUAGGCGGCUUGUUAAGUAGGGUGUGAAAUCCCCCGGCUCAACCGGGGAAUGGCGCCCUAAACUGGCGAGCUGGAGUGAGAUAGGGGUGUGUGGAACUUCCGGUGGAGCGGUGAAAUGCGUUGAUAUUGGAAGGAACGCCGGAGGCGAAAGCGGCGCACUGGAUCUCUACUGACGCUGAGGCGCGAAAGCCAGGGGAGCAAACAGG